rnacentral:rRNA from 1 species
UACGAAGGGGGCUAGCGUUGUUCGGAUUUACUGGGCGUAAAGCGCACGUAGGCGGACUAUUAAGUCAGGGGUGAAAUCCCCCGGCUUAACCUGGGAACUGCGUCUGAUACUGGAAGGCUUGAGGAUGGGAGAGGGAUGUAGAAUUCCAGGUGUAGCGGUGAAAUGCGUAGAUAUCUGGAGGAAUACCGGUGGCGAAGGCGGCAUCCUGGGCCAUUACUGACGCUGAGGCGCGAAAGCUAGGGGAGCAAACGGG